rnacentral:rRNA from 1 species
GUCCACACGGUAAACGAUGAAUACUCGCUGUUGGCGAUAUACGGUCAGCGGCCAAGCGAAAGCAUUAAGUAUUCCACCUGGGGAGUACGCCGGCAACGGUGAAACUCAAAGGAAUUGACGGGGCCCGCACAAGCGGAGGAACAUGUGGUUUAAUUCGAUGAUACGCGAGGAACCUUACCCGGGCUUAAAUUGCACUGGACAGGCUCAGAGAUGGGGCUCUUCUUCGGACCAGUGUGAAGGUGCUGCAUGGUUGUCGU